rnacentral:rRNA from 1 species
CAAUAGCGUAUAUUUAAGUUGUUGCAGUUAAAAAGCUCGUAGUCGGAUUUUGGCUGAGAACGAUCGGUCCGCCGUUAGGUGUGCACUGAUUGGUCUCAGCUUCCUGGUGAGGAGGUGUGCUUCACGGCCACUUAGUCACCGUGGUUACUUUGAAAAAAUUAGAGUGUUCAAAGCAGGCUUACGCUUGAAUAUAUUAGCAUGGAAUAACACCAUAGGACUCCUGUCCUAUUUCGUUGGUCUCGGGACGGGAGUAAUGAUUAAGAGGAACAGUUGGGGGCAUUCGUAUUUCAUUGUCAGAGGUGAAAUUCUUGGAUUUAUGAAAGACGAACUUCUGCGAAAGCAUUUGCCAAGGAUGUUUUCAUUGA